UACGUAGGGUGCAAGCGUUAAUCGGAAUUACUGGGCGUAAAGCGUGCGCAGGCGGUUUUGUAAGUCUGUCGUGAAAGCCCCGGGCUCAACCUGGGAAUUGCGAUGGAGACUGCAAGGCUUGAAUCUGGCAGAGGGGGGUAGAAUUCCACGUGUAGCAGUGAAAUGCGUAGAGAUGUGGCGGAACACCGAUGGCGAAGGCAGCCCCCUGGGCUGAGAUUGACGCUCAGGCACGAAAGCGUGGGGAGCAAACAGG
rnacentral:rRNA from 1 species